CUCUACCACCCCACUGACAAUAGAUGAGCUCUCAGCCUGCUGCUGGGUGUUCCUAGAACAUACUCGCUUCCAGUGCUCCGAAUAGAAUCUGAGAGGUGGUGGGUGUGUAGCCUUCUCUUAGGAUGCCCAGCAGUGGAAAUGCAAGGUGGAUACAACCUAGAAGACAGAAGUCAAUUAAAGUGAUGAAUGGAUUUUUGGAAAUCUAUAGAUAAAUGAAAUCACCUUAAAGAGGCAGAAAAGCUGUUAGGGCAAAGCAAGACUAGACUGCAACUAGCGAUCUCUCUACAGAUGGAGUGUGUUGAUCAGCUCCAGAAAACAACAAGCAAACAAACAAAAAACACAAAAAACCAAGUUCCUGGAGGCAUAUCUGAACAAUGCUCCUCAAGCUUCCCCAAAGAAGAGGGGUCUUGACAAGAGACUUUGGAUAUAUUUGGGGGUCAAUGGCAAGGUAGCUUAAAAAUGGCCACAAGUUCUUUGCUACUUCUCCCAUUGAAGGCUGCCAUGCAGGGAGUCCGAUGACUAGACACCAUGCCAGGGAGGCCACCUGGAGGUGCCCUGGUGAAUGGUCCCAGGUGAGCCUUCUAUCCGUCCUCAUCAGGGUACCAGAUAUGUGAGAAGGAUCAUCUCAGACACUUACGCACAAGCUAAAGGCCACUGGUUGACCUCCAGCAACCUGUUUCUGAAGCAGAAAAAUCUGAGACCUGCCUAAAUUCCUAAUCCAUAAAAUCGUGAGAUAAAGUUAAAUGAUUGUUGUUGUAUGCGCUAAGCUUUGGGGUCAUUUGUUACACAGCAAUGUAUUACUACAACAAGAUUGCUACCAAUUAGCUCAGCUAAAGAACAAUUAAGAACAUCUCAGCUUCUCUUGUAAUUUUUCAUCCAUGGGGAGGAUACAAUGAUGAUGUAAAGUAUUAAAGUCCAUCUAAUGAUUAUCUAUCUCAGUAUAAGUUAAUAUGUUACAUAAUUAUUUAUUUGGACUCUUGUGAGUUGUGACAAUGUAAAUUCUUCCCUGAGAUUAUAGAUAUACUUUCAAUGUACUGACAAAAGCAAAUUUCUGGAUCAUGUAAAUUCACCAAAGUAAUAAAUCCCACCUUGCAAAUUUCUUGGGCAACCA